rnacentral:rRNA from 1 species
UACAGAGGUCCCAAGCGUUGUUCGGAUUCACUGGGCGUAAAGGGUGCGUAGGUGGUCGGGUAAGUCUGAUGUGAAAUCUCUGGGCUCAACCCAGAAAUGGCAUUGGAUACUAUUCGGCUGGAGGAGUGGAGGGGGGACUGGAAUACUUGGUGUAGCAGUGAAAUGCGUAGAUAUCAAGUGGAACACCAGUGGCGAAGGCGAGUCCCUGGACACUUCCUGACACUGAGGCACGAAAGCUAGGGGAGCAAACAGG